rnacentral:rRNA from 1 species
ACGAACGCUGGCGGCGUGCCUAACACAUGCAAGUCGUGCGAGAAAGCCCCUUCGGGGGUGAGUACAGCGGCGGACGGGUGAGUAACACGUGAGUGAUCUACCCGGCGAUCGGGGGACAACCCAGGGAAACCUGGGCUAAUACCGCAUACAGCGGAGGGAGUAGGUGCCCUUCGUGAAAGCUGGCCUCUCCAUGGAAGCUAGCGUCGCCGGAGGAGCUCGCGGCCUAUCAGCUUGUUGGUGGGGUAACGGCCUACCAAGGCUAUGACGGGUAGCUGACGUGAGAGCGUGAGCAGCCACACUGGGACUGAGACACGGCCCAGACUCCUACGGGAGGCAGCAGUGGGGAAUAUUGCGCAAUGGGCGAAAGCCUGACGCAGCGACGCCGCGUGGGGGAGGAAGGCCCUAGGGUUGUAAACCCCUGUCAGGUGGGACGAACCCCGGGUUGGUUAAUAAUCAGCUCGACUGACGGUACCACCAGAGGAAGCUCUGGCUAACUCCGUG